rnacentral:sRNA from 1 species
CUGUGAUAGCCAUUCUGUGGGAGGCACAGCAGUGUGCAGAAAGUUAAUGUCUCCACAGCAAACCGUGGGGAACUGUGGGUCAGAGACUCUCCAGCAUCCUUGGAAGUGGCCUCUUCACAGUCACCUGAGAACCUGGAGGAAGAUGCUGUUUACAAGACCCACGUGGAGAAGGACUUCAUUGCUUUUUGCUCUUCAACACCACACAACGUGUCCUGGAGAGACAGCACAAUGGGCUCUAUCUUCAUCACACAACUCAUCACAUGCUUCCAGAAAUAUUCUUGGUGCUGCCACCUAGAGGAAGUAUUUCGGAAGGUAAGUGUCUCUUUUCUAGUUAUUCAUUUAUUUCUUCAGGAAGAAUUUGUCAUGAUUCACCUUUUACUUCACAAUGACAAUCUUUGUCAGGGAAGUGAAAGUAGAGAGGUACCUAGUUUCUGUCAUUCAGUUGUUUAAAAUAUGGCUAAGGAAAAGACAAUUCCAAUAUAUCCCAGCAGAAGAUCAAAGUAAAAUAAUAUCAACCAUAAGCUUUAUGUUAUGGACUGUAUGUUCUUAAGUUUUAGAGAAGGAAAAAUAUUUUGAAAUAAUUUUUAUUUCUUAAUUUAUUAAAUGAAUAAAAUCUGGGUGGUCUGCUAGGUCAUGGAUUUCCUCCUGGUGACAGAGGGGUAAAUCAGGCCUACAUGACGUAAUCCUAUCUAGGACUCACAUUUUCGUGGGAGAUAUGGAUACUGAAAAUGUGGGUUAACAAACAAAUAUGUGCUCACAGAUUGUG